ACUGUGACGUGGAUGGUCGCGGUACCUGCUUGGCGGGUACUGAGGAAAGUCCGGACACACCCAUCGUUUUACGGUGGAGCAGGGUAGCAGGUAAUGCCUGUCUGAGGUAACUCACGAGGUGCGAGCAGAGACGUCUUGGUGCGAAAGCGCUGAGAAUCCCUUCGGGGAUAGUCUGUUUGGAAACAAGCAGGGUGAAACGGCUAAAUCCUUACCUGUGUGCAAGACCGUACUCUCAUGUAUUACAUAUGUGUACGUGAGUUUGAGUCGCAAGAGGUGUUUGGUGACAAUCAUCCUAGGUAAAUGAUCAUCCCCGGCAUCACUUUCAUGCUCAAGUAUUGCAAUAUGUCAGCUUGAAUCACUCAUUUUGACAGCCAAUUGAUACUUAAUUAUGAAAGUGGUGCUGGGACAGAAUCCGGCUUAUAACGUGUCAAAAAUC
rnacentral:RNase_P_RNA from 1 species